rnacentral:rRNA from 1 species
AACGAACGCUGGCGGCAUGCCUAACACAUGCAAGUCGAACGAGACCUUCGGGUCUAGUGGCGCACUGGUGCGUAACGCGUGGGAACCUGCCCUUAGGUUCGGAAUAACUCCCCGAAAGGGGUGCUAAUACGGGCUCAUGUCCUCGGACCAAAGAUUUAUCGCCUUUGGAUGUGCCCGCGUUGGAUUAGCUAGUUGGUAGGGUAAAAGCCUACCACGGCGACGAUCCAUAGCUGGUCUGAGAGGAUGAGCAGCCACACUGGGACUGGGACACGGCCCAGACUCCUACGGGAUGCAGCAGUGGGGGAUAUUGGACAAUGGGCGAAAGCAUGAAGCACCACUGCCGCGAGAGUGAUGAAGGUCGUAGGGUUGUAAAGCUCUUUUAUCCGGGAUGAUAAUGACGGUACCGGGAGAAUAAGCACCGGCUAACUCCGUG